GACGAACGCUGGCGGCGUGCUUAACACAUGCAAGUCGAACGGGUCUGCCCUGUUUUUUGCGGGGUGGGUCAGUGGCGAACGGGCGAGUAACACGUGAGUAACCUGCCCCUCACUUCUGGAUAACCGCUUGAAAGGGUGGCUAAUACGGGGUGUUCUGGCUGUGCCGCAUGGUGUGGCUGGGAAAGAUUCACUUUUGUGGUGUUUUGGUGGGGGAUGGGCUCGCGGCCUAUCAGCUUGUUGGUGGGGUGAUGGCCUGCCAAGGCUUUGACGGGUAGCCGGCCUGAGAGGGUGGGCGGUCACACUGGGACUGAGAUACGGCCCAGACUCCUGCGGGAGGCAGCAGUGGGGGGUAUUGCACAAUGGGCGGAAGCCUGAUGCAGCGACGUCGCGUGAGGGAUGGAGGCCUUCGGGUUGUGAACCUCUUUCGCCGGUGAAGAAGGUCCUGCUCUUUGUGGUGGGGUUGACGGUAGCCGGGUUAUGAAGCGCCGGCUAACUACGUG
rnacentral:rRNA from 1 species